rnacentral:lncRNA from 1 species
AUGCCCAGCGAAGUCAAGAAAAUUUCCUUUACGAAAAGAUUUUGGAUCGAACGGGAAUCUAACCCCGCCACCUUCAGCAUGGCUAUGCUUUAUAGUCGCAGACUAGGCUUAGAAAGUUGUAGCCCUUGCCGGGAAAAUACAAUUUUCUCGAAAGUUUCCACCGAUAAAAUCUUUUCUCUCGCUCCCCGACGAAUAUUGUCGUCUCUCGAACUGAGGUUGACACAAAAUACGGAAAUAUUCGUUGGGUUGAAGACUGAACACCUAGGUAUACUUUUUCGGGGUCCAGUCCGUAUACGUGACACUCCUGACAACAAACGAUGGCAACGACAACAGCGACGACAAGCGUUAGCCUUCGGGGUGGAAUGAGUUAUAACCACCAGAUGGCGGAAAACUUAUUCCUUUUCCUGUUCAACUUUUCGAAUAUUUAUGAUGAUGCAUUGUCGUCUUGUGUCGAUAGUGCUCACUCAGUCAAUGGUGGUACGUGGGAACCCGCGAAAUGGGCAUUAAGAAAGUUUAUCAAAGAAGGUGAACGAAAGUUCAUGCAGGGUUUCACAAUUUUCAUUUGAUACAUUUGCAAAUAAAAGUGGAGAGAGUGCUACUAGACAUGGGAAAAUGUUUGUGUUAGUAAGAUAAGGUUGUUUGUUUUUUAUUUUCUUUAGAAAAAGUCAGCCUCAAACAUCAUUUCUUAGAUCUUUACGCAAUCUUUAAAAUUUCUAACUUUUCUUCUCGUAUUUCCUUUUGGUUCUGCAUUUCCACUUGGAACUUGGCCUAGUCUUCAUCUUAGUGUUUUUAUGAGCAUUUUUACAGUUAUUAUGACGGUGUGAAGCAUUUAUUGCGAAUUAAAAUCUAGCAAACUCAUUGAACCUAUCCAUAUGCUUUCAACUAAUUGUCCAAUCCAAACGCAACAAUCAUUCAUAAAUUUACACAUGGCAUACAUAUAAAAUAUUAACGAAUAAUUCAAAUUUUGACGAAGCAAGAGGCUAAAUAGUUUGUACAUAUAAACACACGGAAGUAGGUAAUCAUUGAGCAUUUUAUUCGUGCUAAAUCAGGCUACACUUUAAGUUUGAUGAUAUUUUUCAAGCAUCAUCAAUGAAAAAGCAUGGGAUUCUAAUCCCGCUAGCAAAUGCGUAAAAAUCUCUACAAAUCUGGAACAUUUCGAUCAAAACACCUUAUAGGUAAAUGUUUUGUUUUUUUUUUUUCACUAAGCGCAAUCAAGGAAGAAUCCACCGUUCCAGCUGUACAGUAUUAGUGUUUUAAACCGCCGAAAAACAAGAGAACAAAUCGACGUCGCUUGAAAUCCACUCUAAGAGCUUAGAUACUCAUGUUACGAAUAGGGAAAUGGUACCAUAUUUUAAUCAAAGAAAAAUGUCUUACAAAUGACGCAGUCGAAUCUAGACAUCGGUUUGAUUAUCAACUCGUUGUCUAAUGGAAUUUCGUGAGCAAUUCACGAAUGCACUUUUACAUCUACAUAAACAUGUUAAUAUGCUAUCGAUAAAAGCUAGAACUUAUCACACAUCCAUUAGUUGUUUUCCCCAUGUCUCCCCUUUCACGAAAAUGAUACGAUAUGAAGCGAUCUAACGAAACGUAAAUCAUGCUAAGCACAUACACAUUUCAACUAUGUAGCGUUACCAAGCAAAUCAAAAGUAUCAUCAGAAUGGAAGUAAACAACACUAUAAACUUUUACGUUACUGUUUUUGACCUUAUGUUUGUCUUUAUUAAUUCUUUGGAUAACGAAACGACAUCCAAAAACAAGUUGUAAACAAACGCCAAAGGAGUACUCUUAAGUUGUAAAAGUAAAACAAACAAAACCAGUAAUUAGACUCACGAACGAGAAGCGGAAGACUUCUUUGAGCUGCCCAGACGGCGAAGUUUUUGUAUCAUAUAUUGUAAUAAAAAAAAAAAGAGAAAGCCGUGCUGCGGGAAAGAAAGGUACACAACCAGAGUUAGUGAUAAAUAGCUAAGAACAAAAAAAAUGAAACGAAAAUAUCCACCUAAAACACAGAGAUAAGAAAAGCAGAACAAACCAUUUUACAACCAACCAAAUUAGUGUGCUAGAGUUAUUAUGCAAAGGAUGAUCCAUUACAAAUAGAUAAAAAACAAAACCAUACCGAUUAUACACAAGACCCGGGGGCCAAAAUGUCCUAGUUGUUUAUUUUGGAUAGGGAUUGGGGACUGAUACGUGUGAAAGAAACAGAAAAUAUAAUGAGCAAAUUAGGGAUCGAAAAUUGUAAUCAAAAACCGGAAGAAACUGAGAGCUGCCAGCCAAAAGGAGAUGGUCAUUGCCAUGUUGAGCAUUUCCACCUCGCGUCGAUUGUGGGAAUAAAAAAAAGGCCAAAGAUAGUCAGGUGGCUCACGAUAAGGGUAGGGUGGGGUUGGUCAACUAAUCCGAAAAGUAACACAAAUAGUAUAAAUGUAGAAAUGCGCUUCUAGCGAAACUAGAUAACGGAUGAUAAUAAUGAUGAACACAAAAACCAAAAACCUAGAAAAUAACAGUGGAAAUAAAAUCAAAUGUAGAAUAAUGGAUAUGAUGAAUAUGAAUAAAAUUGUAUAAACUGA